UUAUUCUAGCUUGUUAGUCUUUGAAUCAAAACCUCUAGAUAAACCCCUAAUUGAAAAUUUAUAACCCUAAAAAAUUUGAUUUUGUUGGUGAAAUCGAAGGAUAUCCUAGUUCAGUGAUACUUGUUUGUGUUCGAAUCUACGAGAAAACUGCUGCGACGAGUUUGUGAACAACAAGAAGACCGCUGCAAUUAAGAGCGAGUAGAAUAAUACAAUCGAGGUAGACUUGAAUAGGUCAGGUAAUUUUGGUGAAAUGGACAUGUGUCCUGUUAAUGAUUAGUAUUGCGACAUUUUCCACUUCCUCCAAGACUUAAGAAAUACUAUACUAUACCAUGGAUUUCUGAGGAUAUGACCUGGCAUGAUCGUGCAUAGGCUUCUUCAGAGUAUAUGCGACACCCAGUUGACUCUACACAAUGGCAGAACAUGAAGACAAAGUGGCCUGAGUUUGCAAAGGAAGCGGAAAUGUGUGGCUGGGCAUUUCUACUGAUGGUUUUAAUCCUCGCGGCAUCCAGUGUACCAGUUACAGUUGUUGGCCAGUCAUCUUGGUUCCUUACAAUCUGCCGCCAUCACUGUGUAUGAAGCCAGAGUUUCAGAUCAUCACUACUAAUACCAGGACCUAGGGCACCGGGUCAAGACAUCUGCGUUAUGCUUCAGCCAUUAAACUUUGGGAAGGAGUCGAUGCUGUAGAUAUGCAUCUAAAGCAGUCAUUCAAGUUGAGAGCUAUCCUAAUGUGGGGUAUACAUGAUUUACCCGCAUAUGGUAAUGUUUCUGGUUGUGUAGUUCACGGAUACAAAGCGUGUCCUGGAUGUGGAGAUUAGACUGAAAGCAAUUGGUUACAUCAUUCGAGAAAGAUUAUGUACCGAAAUUUUCGAAGAUUUCUGAAGUCGACUCAUCCUUUCAGGAAAUGUAAGUACUUGGGACUGAAAACAGUGGAGACUGAACUGGCGCCAACUCCAUUAAGUGGAGAAGAAGUACUGAUGAAGACUAGGAAUGUUCAUUAUCUUCCCGGUAAGCUUACCAAAGACGGCAAGAAGAGAAAGAGAGAUGGCUGCAUUUCAAGGCGAUACUGCGUAUGUUGAAGGUUAAUGGAUCUACAGCAGCUGCAGUAGGCACUCCUAGCCCAGAGAAAGGGUCUACUUCUUAUCCUGGUGGUGUAAAUGGUCGUGUUCCGGAGAUCGAGGUCAGUGCAAGUAAUGCGCACGCCACUGGUCCAGUUGAGCUACUAGACAAUGGAGGUAGGGUUGUCGCAUUGGGUCUAUAGCUCGUGGUGAUGUUGUUCACCAUAAAAAGGUGAAGCCGAAUGAGAGGAAGGUCUACAUUGAGCAAGUGUAUGAGCAAGCAGCCAUUAUCUGGGAUGCCCCUCAAGGAGAUGGUUGGUGUACCUCGAGUCAGGUACCACUGCCUAAUUGGUUGAAAUGGCCCGAGGAUAGGCUGUCACCUGUUGCAUAGACAUGUUUAAUAUCGGGUGAGGAACUAUUUUGUUUUUUUGACUAACAGCAGAUGUUCAAAGACAUAGCAAAUCCUACAUACUGCUUUUUUUGGUAAGGAAACACGGCGAUAAAUCUAACA